rnacentral:rRNA from 1 species
CCUACGGGAGGCAGCAGUGAGGAAUAUUGGUCAAUGGACGAGAGUCUGAACCAGCCAAGUAGCGUGAAGGAUGACUGCCCUAUGGGUUGUAAACCUCUUUUAUCAAGGAAUAAAACGAGGCACGUGUGCCCUUACGCAUGUACUUUAUGAAUAAGGAUCGGCUAACUCCGUGCCAGCAGCCGCGGUAAUACGGAGGAUCCGAGCGUUAUCCGGAUUUAUUGGGUUUAAAGGGAGCGUAGAUGGGUUGUUAAGUCAGUUGUGAAAGUUUGGGGCUCAACCGUAGCAUUGCAGUUGAUACUGGCAGUCUUGAGUUGGGGUGAGGUAGGCGGAAUGCGUGGUGUAGCGGUGAAAUGCUUAGAUAUCACGAAGAACUCCGAUUGCGAAGGCAGCUUACUAACCUGCCACUGACAUUGAUGCACGAAAGUGUGGGUAUCGAACAGGAUUAGAUACCCCAGUAGUC